AGGCAACCUGGCGGGGCUGGCUCGGCCCGGGCGCACGCAGGUGGGGCGCAGGCCCAGACCGCAGCCGAUUCUCCCGAGACACAGGGCCCAGAGGGGCCGUCGGCAAACGCACCAGACGGGCGGAAAAAAAAGAGCAGGAUGAAGGGAGGAAGACACAGCCAGCCAGAGAAGGGAGAAGAGGAGAAACAUCUGGAAAAUAUCAGUGUUGCAGAGCCUCCCGGAAACUGACCUUGCCACCGAAAGGGUGAAUGGGGUCAACAUGGAAACAGCAUGAGAGGGGCCACAGAAGGGAUUCACCAGGAAGAAGAGGAAAGGCAAACUGAAGUGGCCAGGAUGGCACGACAUCACGUCUGACCAAGGCAUCCUCAGCCUUCCUUCAGAAAAGCAGCAGAAGGAAAAAGGGAUCAAAAAUCACAGUGUGGAACUCAGGCUUGAAAGAAACCU